CGAAUGCUGACAUAAGUAACGAUAAAGCGGGUGAAAAGCCCGCUCGCCGGAAGACCAAGGGUUCCUGUCCAACGUUAAUCGGGGCAGGGUGAGUCGACCCCUAAGGCGAGGCCGAAAGGCGUAGUCGAUGGGAAACAGGUUAAUAUUCCUGUACUUGGUGUUACUGCGAAGGGGGGACGGAGAAGGCUAUGUUGGCCGGGCGACGGUUGUCCCGGUUUAAGCGUGUAGGCUGGUUUUCCAGGCAAAUCCGGAAAAUCAAGGCUGAGGCGUGAUGACGAGGCACUACGGUGCUGAAGCAACAAAUGCCCUGCUUCCAGGAAAAGCCUCUAAGCAUCAGGUAACAUCAAAUCGUACCCCAAACCGACACAGGUGGUCAGGUAGAGAAUACCAAGGCGCUUGAGAGAACUCGGGUGAAGGAACUAGGCAAAAUGGUGCCGUAACUUCGGGAGAAGGCACGCUGAUACGUAGGUGAAGUCCCUUGCGGAUGGAGCUGAAAUCAGUCGAAGAUACCAGCUGGCUGCAACUGUUUAUUAAAAACACAGCACUGUGCAAACACGAAAGUGGACGUAUACGGUGUGACGCCUGCCCGGUGCCGGAAGGUUAAUUGAUGGGGUUAGCGGUAACGCGAAGCUCUUGAUCGAAGCCCCGGUAAACGGCGGCCGUAACUAUAACGGUCCUAAGGUAGCGAAAUUCCUUGUCGGGUAAGUUCCGACCUGCACGAAUGGCGUAAUGAUGGCCAGGCUGUCUCCACCCGAGACUCAGUGAAAUUGAACUCGCUGUGAAGAUGCAGUGUACCCGCGGCAAGACGGAAAGACCCCGUGAACCUUUACUAUAGCUUGACACUGAACAUUGAGCCUUGAUGUGUAGGAUAGGUGGGAGGCUUUGAAGUGUGGACGCCAGUCUGCAUGGAGCCGACCUUGAAAUACCACCCUUUAAUGUUUGAUGUUCUAACGUUGGCCCCUGAUCGGGGUUGCGGACAGUGUCUGGUGGGUAGUUUGACUGGGGCGGUCUCCUCCUAAAGAGUAACGGAGGAGCACGAAGGUUGGCUAAUCCUGGUCGGACAUCAGGAGGUUAGUGCAAUGGCAUAAGCCAGCUUGACUGCGAGCGUGACGGCGCGAGCAGGUGCGAAAGCAGGUCAUAGUGAUCCGGUGGUUCUGAAUGGAAGGGCCAUCGCUCAACGGAUAAAAGGUACUCCGGGGAUAACAGGCUGAUACCGCCCAAGAGUUCAUAUCGACGGCGGUGUUUGGCACCUCGAUGUCGGCUCAUCACAUCCUGGGGCUGAAGUAGGUCCCAAGGGUAUGGCUGUUCGCCAUUUAAAGUGGUACGCGAGCUGGGUUUAGAACGUCGUGAGACAGUUCGGUCCCUAUCUGCCGUGGGCGCUGGAGAACUGAGGGGGGCUGCUCCUAGUACGAGAGGACCGGAGUGGACGCAUCACUGGUGUUCGGGUUGUCAUGCCAAUGGCACUGCCCGGUAGCUAAAUGCGGAAGAGAUAAGUGCUGAAAGCAUCUAAGCACGAAACUUGCCCCGAGAUGAGUUCUCCCUGACCCUUUAAGGGUCCUGAAGGAACGUUGAAGACGACGACGUUGAUAGGCCGGG
rnacentral:rRNA from 1 species